rnacentral:rRNA from 1 species
CACGUAGGCGGACCAGAAAGUUGGGGUGAAAUCCCGGGGCUCAACCCCGGAACUGCCUCCAAAACUAUUGGUCUAGAGUUCGAGAGAGGUGAGUGGAAUUCCGAGUGUAGAGGUGAAAUUCGUAGAUAUUCGGAGGAACACCAGUGGCGAAGGCGGCUCACUGGCUCGAUACUGACGCUGAGGUGCGAAAGUGUGGGGAGCAAACA